rnacentral:tRNA from 1 species
AUAAUUUUAAGUUAAGUAAAACUGUAAACCUUCAAAGUUUAAAAUGAUGUGUUAGUCAAAUUAUG